AUGAAGCCCGCUGGGAGUUGGUCUCCAGGAAGGGGUUCCUGCCAAGGCCCCGUGCCGGCGUUUGCUCCUGGGCGCCGGAGAGUGAGGCGCAGAGCUGCGGUGUGGCUCCGGCGCUCGGGCAGCUGCUGGCCUGAGCGGGUCCCCGCGCCCGGACACGGACGAGGGAGGGGCCUGGCGCCACGUGUGCAGCCGCGGGCCCAGGUGUGGGGGCGCUGCUCUCGCUGUGGUGCUGUGUUCAUUAAGAGAGGGCUGAGGUGGCGGCUGCUGCUUUGGGAACCUUGGCCUCUCAAAGCCCUUUGCCACGGACUUGCUCUCGGUCAACGCAUAGUACGCGCCCGGGAGGCGCCGGGGGCGGCUGCGGGGCUCGGUCCUGGCGUAGUCCUGGGACUGAGCCGAAGGGGAGGCGUCUGCAGGUGUGUGACCGGAGACCCAAGGGCGCCUAGCAGCCGGCCCCGCUCCUCCUCCUCCGUCCGCUCGCCAAGGUGUCCCUCAGACAGUGCCCAGGGCCCCUGGCAGCUCUCCGCAGGCUGCCUCCCUCCCUGGGGUCAGGCUCUGUCGCUGGCCUCAGGAGGCUCACCUGGCUGCGGGCACGCCCCUCCUCCGGGCCGGGAGGCUGGUUGUCCACCGUCCGGAUGGACUUCCCCGGCUGCCUCCGCCCCACCUCGUUUACCACCGGCCCCCUGGGGCUGAGCGACGGCCCCGACCUGUCGUUCAUGUGCAGCUGGAGAGACGCGCUGACCCUGCCGGAGCCCCAGCCCCAGGACGCCAAGGUGAGGAGGGGCAGGAGACAGCCGGGACUCUGGCCGGGUCCUCGGAGUCCCGAGCUGGCUGGUGGGGCUGAGCCCUCGGGGGCUCAUCGGUCAGGAGAGACGGUGUAGCAGGGCAGGCUCAGGGUGGCCCCCCGCGAGGGCCCCUCCCCCUACCGAGUGUUUGUGCUGAGCUGUCUCGGGCUGGCGGGCGGCGGAGGGUCCUCUGGGGCUCCCGGAGCAGGUGACGAGGUCUCCUGAGCGGAGGGCAGAGGAAGCGGGACUCGGAGCGGCCUGUGCGGAAGGGGGCUUCCCUGCUGGGUCAGGGUCACAGGCGCGCAGUCUAGAGCCGGCUGUUGGCUUCCACGUCCCCGCUCCUCGCCGCGCUGACAGCUGGGCUCCCUGUGGCUCCGUCUCUUCAGU
rnacentral:lncRNA from 1 species